rnacentral:piRNA from 1 species
CCAUCGGAGUAGCAGCAAUUUAAC